rnacentral:rRNA from 1 species
GAUGAACGCUGGCGGCGUGCCUAAUACAUGCAAGUCGAGCGAACAGACGAGGAGCUUGCUCCUCUGACGUUAGCGGCGGACGGGUGAGUAACACGUGGAUAACCUACCUAUAAGACUGGGAUAACUUCGGGAAACCGGAGCUAAUACCGGAUAAUAUAUUGAACCGCAUGGUUCAAUAGUGAAAGACGGUUUUGCUGUCACUUAUAGAUGGAUCCGCGCCGCAUUAGCUAGUUGGUAAGGUAACGGCUUACCAAGGCAACGAUGCGUAGCCGACCUGAGAGGGUGAUCGGCCACACUGAAACUGAGACACGGUCCAGACUCCUACGGGAGGCAGCAGUAGGGAAUCUUCCGCAAUGGGCGAAAGCCUGACGGAGCAACGCCGCGUGAGUGAUGAAGGUCUUCGGAUCGUAAAACUCUGUUAUUAGGGAAGAACAAAUGUGUAAGUAACUAUGCAGGUCUUGACGGUACCUAAUCAGAAAGCCACGGCUAACUACGU